GCUGAUAUGGCUCCGUUGGUAGAGCGCACCCUGAAUAAGGGUGAGGUCGGCAGUGCGAAUCUGCUUACCAACACCA
rnacentral:tRNA from 1 species